CGUCGCGUUACAGAGUCAUGGCCGCGUUUGAUUCUCUCGUUCCGUCGCGUUACAGAGUCAUGGCCGCGUUUGAUUCUCUCGUUCCGUCGCAUUAGAGUCAUGGCCACGUUUGAUUCUCUCGUUCCGUCGCGUUACAGAGUCAUGGCCGCGUUUGAUUCUCUCGUUCCGUCGCGUUACAGAGUCAUGGCCGCGUUUGAUUCUCUCGUUCCGUCGCAUUAGAGUCAUGGCCACGUUUAAUUCUCUCGUUUUCUCAUGUAAUGUCCACGUGUAAUCAUCGUGUUAUUGAUUCACGGCUUCACUUAAUUAUCUUGUUCCCACAUGUUAUUCCUUUUGGCUACACGUGCAUAAUUAUCCCAUUUGCUUGCAUUACUAAGCAGUGUCCACAUUUAAUUACAGCUCGUUCUCAUGCGUUAAGUUGUGGUUACACUUACGUAGAUCAUCUCGUUCCCCCGUGUUAUUAAGUCAUGAUUCCUGUUCACACUUCUUUACUAAGUCAUGGCCAUGCAUUAGUUUUUAUUAAAGUAGGGAUGUUACCUGUAGGGGUCUGUAGAAAUAAGACUCGGGGACAGACUGUAAUUGUUUGUUUUUUUUGACUAUACCGUAACAGAAUUUACAUUUUGAAAAUUUAAACAUGAAAUGUUACAGGAGACCACCCAAUUGUAUGCCAAGUCUAUACAGACAGGACACGUCCUAAAAUCCCCAAACUAUAUGUCUAUAUGUCUAAACUGGGCAUGGAGGAAUAAUUCAGUUAUACAGUAGAUUGCAGUAUGUUGAGCACACACACACACUGCACUGUAUCAUGGAUGUUUAAAAGUAACGUCACGUCCUCUGGCAUUUCAUUUAUCUGCAUUUAGCGCGCUGCCUGGCUCGAGAGCACCCUAGAUCCAGCCAGUUACAUCCUGCAGCAUAAUGACAGCAGUCUUCUACUGUUUUUCAUCUGAUUGAUUAAUGAAUUCAUUAUUUUCCAACGCUAAACAGGGACGAAGUGAGCAUGCAGGGCGGACAGCGGUUUGGGACGAGGCCACAGAGGCGGCGUAUCUGCACCAUCGGCGAGAUGAAAUGAACUUUAGCAGGAAAUCGAUCUUAAAGUGAACUGAACGGUUCAUGACCUCGAUCAUACGCACAAAAAGACUACAACUACAAAAAAAAAAUAAUAAUAAUAAUUAAAAAAAUAAUAAUAAUAAUAAUACUACAUUGCAAAUUCAUACAAACGACAGGAGACUGGGCUGUGUCCCAAUCUAACACAGUGCAUCCUAAAUCAAACCCAUGACACUGAUAUACACACUGAUACAUACACAGUAGUGCACUUGUGUAAAAUAUCAAGUAUGAUCAUGCAUAAAAAUGUUUACGAUAAAGAAACACAAAAAGAGCUUAUCUGUUAGAUCUUGUUUUUGCUGUGUGUUUCUCUUUCAAGGUGUCCAGUAUAUACAGGAGCAACCCCACACACACACACACACACACACACACACAAUCUCUCUCAUGUGGAAGACCAUUUACAUUCUUAAAUGCUUACAAAAAUGCUACACUUUUCACACUGUAGAUGUGAUGGUGUGCCGCGAGAAAUGAAAUCAUUCUAAUGUUAAUGUCACCAUGUGUCUAAGACCGAGUACGAUGUACGCUGCCAGUCAAAUGGGUUUUUUUUUUUAAAACAUGUGAAGGUUUGGCUAUUGGCUAUUGGCUAUUAAAUAAGAGAGAUGUAGUUUCCUUUUGUAUUUAAAUCUGUCUUUAAGGACUGUCAUUGUCCACGCUCAGACAAGUUGAGAUUUGUCUCCGUUGAACAGUGGACUAGUUCAACACACAGACUUCAUGUACGAACCGUAAUGAACUUUCUUUUACUUUCACGCUCUCCGUCGUUACCCAGAUGAGGACGGGUUCCCUUCCGAGUCUGGUUCCUCUCAAGGUUUCUUCCUCUUAACAUCUUAGGGAAUUUUUCCUCACCACCGUCUCGCUCAAUAAGGAUAAAUUCACACACUUUAAAUCUCUAUCCUGUGUUGAUAUGUUUCUGUAAAGCUGCUAUACAAAUCAAAUUGAACUGAAAUGAAGUCUUACGGCUGAUAUUAGACAGUAUCGAACCAUAGGACUGUCGGAAUCGUGUCCGCUCUCCGGUCCCGUGGCUGCGGCCCUAAUCGACCGUAACGCGAACGUGUCUUGUGCUAUGAGCGUCUCCGGAUCAGCCUUUUCCGGAUAAAUCUAGAUUUCGUUUCCGAAUAAGAAAAUAAAAGGUCACAUUUCUUACUUAGGUUUUCUGAUUGUAUGCUACGUUUAACUAAAAAUGUUAAUACAGGGUGCUCAAAAACGUUUAACUGGCAGUGUGACGUAUGUGGAACAUUUCUCACCAACCCUAUUCCCAGCAUGUUUUAGAGCAGAGCUGUGAAACGUCCGAGCUUGUCUCUUUUAUUCCACUAGGGGGCAAAAUAGAGCAAUAAACACAGGGCUGUGUAAUAAUGUUUCAUUAGCAUAAAAACAAAGCCCUGACUCUGUAACCAUGAGUGCGUCUCAAUCAGCUCCCUGGGUGGUGAAUCAGUACAUCGUGUACACGGGUUCGAGCGGCAGUAAGGACACGGUCUCACUGCACAUCGUUACACCGAUGACUCGCCGAUUUCCGGGGACGUGACUACAUCCUCGCGUUGUAAACCGUCAGCACUUCCUGACAUUAUACAUCAUAUAAAUGUUAGCUUAAAAUCACACGCGAUUCUCUCAUGCUGCAUCGCUAACUGUAAUCGUAAAGAGCUGGGAUUCCCAUCCCUGCUUGAAAUGUUCCCUAAAUGAUUCAAGGAAACUUGUGAAAUGGUUUCCCACGUCCUGGUUAAGGUCACAGGGUCACCCGAGGUCACCUGUAAUCACCUUCGGAUAGACCGAACAUCCGUCUUUAUAAUGAAAUGAACAAACACUGUAUGUAUUCAUUUUCUAUUACAGCAGCUCUGACAGUAGUUCCCACUGUAAGCCAGGCUCACGUGUACGGCGACAAAGUGACCAGAGACCUUUCGUUUUCUACUAGCGACUUCCGGUGACCGUAGGCGACUAGAUGUGGGCGUGUCCAGUGACGCGACAAAGUGGAGAAAAGUUUAGCUUUAUGCCAAUUUGGAGCGACUCGGUGCAGCGACUACCGAUGGGAGCGAAGACGCACGUGUGCACGUGAUCCGUGAUCUCUCAUGCUGACUGCGAAAACGGGUUUCUUGUCAAAAUUAGGCCCACUGAUCGAUGUUCCUACGGCAACCAGUAGACUUCAUUGUACAGCGACUGGCGACUCGCUACGUUAAAAUUCCUGUACGGUACACGUGUGAACGUAGCAUAAUAUACAUUAUCGAUUCUAUAGUAACAGCUUACACGCAGCGUCUCACGUGAUCUAAGACGGAUUAAAUAAAAAAAAAAAAAACGGAUUAAAAAAAGAGAAAGUGUUGUUAUUUAACAUGGCUAAAUGAAUAGACGUCGAUAAGGUGACGUUUUUCGUCAAGGAUAUGUUCGUUUAACAUACGGGUGCAUCUCGAAAAAAUUCGAAUGUCGUAGAAAGGUUCGUAUUUAAAAACCAAUUUUUCCACGAUAUUCGAAUAUUUUUGAGACGCACCUGUAUAAGGAAGGAGUCUCCGAUAUCAGCGCUUUGUACGCGCUCAGGAAACGUUCUGGUUCUCGGUAACGUGACGAGCUGUGUCUGUUUCCUGAUGUAUUAACUUGUUUAUAGCGACUAUAACGUAAGGGAUAACAGGAACUAAUUUGAUUGACGGUACAUUAAGCGUGAUGUUGAUUGAUUGAUUAAUCGACCGAGGAAUAAAACGCUUCGGGAUGUACCGUUCUAGGAAAAUUACCCACUUCAGCGUGAUAAAAGCGUCUCACCACCACCACUCCGUCGUGUCUUAUUCCUCACCUAUACACUUAUUAAUCUACGGAUGUCGGCGCUAACAUGGCGUUGAGGGCUGAAACGCGGAACCUCGGGAACACAAGGCGGCGCCGCUGGUUAUCUGACUAUACGCCUUGCAGACAUAAACAAUAAAGUAAACUUAUUUACACUACACCAUCCGCUCCAACCUUCCACCCGACUUCCCCGGCACUAUAAUUACAUAACGGACCACUGAACACGUACGUAUUACGGACAUCCGGUCCGUCCCAAAACAUUUUAACACCUAAUACCUUUACACUUGAUUCUAAACAGCUUCGGGAGAGACGGAGUCGAGCAUGCAGAUCACGUCAACACCUCGAGGUGCGUCACAUUUUCAGGUUUGUGCAAAUCAAGUAAAAAAAUUAUAAUAAUAAAAUUAAAUAAAAGAGAACUAAUCCUUCUCACACACACAUGUACGUACGUCCAGUACCAAAACAUCAUUUAAAAAUAAAUACUAUACUACAAAUAAAGCAUGCAAGCGCUGAUAAUCGAUUAAUGAUACACUGUGAUAUUCAUCACACGCAAUAGCACUACCGUGGUCUUGCUAAAAGUAUUUAGCGUUUAUGGUUGUGUUCUAAUUAGCACUUUUUACAAAACCCACCACACUACACACUGCAUUUGAGGAUAUUAGGAAAGAAGUCCAGUGUGGGAUGUAUGUGUAAAAAAAAAAUACAUUCUGAAUGUUGCUUAGAUUUUAUGAACCGUGAUGAAAGGUGGCGUGGAUAUUUUGUGGCGUUUUUCUGGCACAAGCAAUAAGUGUAUGUUGGUUUGACAGUGUGUGUGUGUGUGUGUGUAUUAUACAAUUCCCUAUAACUCAAAUCACACAUGUACCUGAUGUAACACACCCCCCUCCCACCCCACACACACACGCACGCACCGUGCAGAUGAAAUAAGACUGAGGUCCACUGCUGUGUUCUCUCCUCUCACACUCUUCUCAUGAACACACACCCGAACACACACUCUGCAGUAAUGCAUCUCAUUAGCAGCCUAUACUAACUGUACCAGUCUAUUUACAACAAAGUAAAAGAAGAUGUGAAAAUCAAUAUAAAAUAACACUGUAAUGGUCACUAGGUAACAGGAAGUAAAGCUCUUCAUGGCACCUGGUUGUCAGUAGAGCAGGAAGAGGACGCAGAAGUUAACACUCACUCCUUCCACACACACGGAUUUUGUUCUUGCAUUUGAACCAUGACCUCUGACCUUUGCCCAAUAGUGGUGUGAGGUCAUAGAGUGAAGGACGGGUCGUAUUUGCGGAUUUCUUGUAAGAGACGUUCUCUGUCGGAGACGGCUGUGGAGAGGGCGGAGUGAACGUCAGCAAGCUCGGACUGAAGGGCUUGUACCUGAAAACACACACACACACACACACACACACACACACACACACACACACACAAGAAAUAAAGUACUAAAUUGUUCAUCUGCUAAAGCUGUGAAAGUAAAGUGUGCCAUAAAAUGACUUUUGGUACAUCAAGCAGGACAUGAAUCAUUUAGGAAUUCAGUUGCAUGAGUCAUUUAGACAAACGGUUCAAAGAAUCAUUAAGGAGUCAUUUAUCUAAAUAGUUCCAAGCAUGAUUUAGCAAAUCAGAGACAAGAGUCUUUUAGACAAACAGAUAAACAAGUCACUUAGCCAAAUAUGUACGUACAGGAAUCAUUUAGCCGAACAGAUUCAAGAGUCAUUUAGCCAAACAGAUACAAGAAGCAUUUAAUUUAACAGGUCAAAGAAUCAUUAAAGAGUGAUUUAGCCAAAUACUAUAUAUAGUAUACCAAACAGAUACAAGAAUCAUUUGGUCAAACAAAAUCUAAUGGUCAUUGAUCCAAACAGUCUAGCAGGUCAAAGAGUCAUUAAAUAGUUUUUUUUAUCCAGUCAGAUACAAGGAUCAUUUAGCAAAUCAAGAGUCAUUAAGCCUAACAGUUCAAAGAGUCAUUUAUCCAAACCGUUUCAAGAGUCAUUUAGCGAAUCAAGAAAACAGAUACAUAAGUAUUUAGGCAAAUGGUUCUGUGUGUGUGUGUGUGUGUGU
ensembl:lncRNA